UGGUCUGUUACUGACGCUGAGGCUCGAAAGCAUGGGUAGCGAACAGGAUUAGAUACCCUGGUAGUCCAUGCCGUAAACGAUGAAUACUAGGUGUUGGAGGGUUUCCGCCCUUCAGUGCCGCAGCUAACGCAUUAAGUAUUCCGCCUGGGGAGUACGACCGCAAGGUUGAAACUCAAAGGAAUUGACGGGGGCCCGCACAAGUGGUGGAGCAUGUGGUUUAAUUCGAUGCUACGCGAAGAACCUUACCAGCUCUUGACAUCUUCUGCCAACCCAAGAGAUUGGGCGUUCCCUUCGGGGACAGAAUGACAGGUGGUGCAUGGUUGUCGUCAGCUCGUGUCGUGAGAUGUUGGGUUAAGUCCCGCAACGAGCGCAACCCUUAUUAUUAGUUGCCAGCAUUUAGUUGGGCACUCUAGUGAGACUGCCGGUGAUAAACCGGAGGAAGGUGGGGACGACGUCAAAUCAUCAUGCCCCUUAUGAGCUGGGCUACACACGUGCUACAAUGGAUGGUACAACGAGUCGCGAAACCGCGAGGUCAAGCUAAUCUCUUAAAGCCAUUCUCAGUUCGGAUUGCAGGCUGCAACUCGCCUGCAUGAAGUUGGAAUCACUAGUAAUCGUGGAUCAGCAUGCCACGGUGAAUACGUUCCCGGGCCUUGUACACACCGCCCGUCACACCAUGAGAGUUUGUAACACCCAAA
rnacentral:rRNA from 2 species